rnacentral:lncRNA from 1 species
UUUUUUUUUUCUAGUUUUUUCUUGAUAUUGAUAUGUUUAAAGUUUGAUCGGACUUAAUGGAAUCUAUGCUUUUCUAUGUAGUAGGAAUAUUUGUAAUGCUUUGAAGCCUAGUAUUUUAGUUAAUUUUCUAAAAAUUAUGACCCUAAUACAUUCAGAGACAUGCAUAAACCUAUAUAUAAAUUAUGUUCAUCCUUGAAGUGAAGAUGAGAUACAAUAUAUUGCUAAUCCUCUGUCUAGACAUUCAAGGUAUAGGGAUUACCUUUCCUUGUUUUACGCUCUAUGCACAGAAAAUUUACCUUUGCAAUUAUAUCAUUUAAUAAAGAGUUAAAAGCGAUGUUACGUUGUGACAGCAAACGAUAGAUUUUCUAGUUGAAACAAGAUGACGUUUUCGUACUACAAGUUUUUAGAUGGGUUCCUAUUUUGUCUCACAUUUCUCAUCAAACAAAUAUUGACGUAGCUUAAAGAUUUGCUAUAUAUUACUGAUGUAUUAUUUUCAUUUCGAAAUAGAUACAUGUCUACCCAUGCAAUAUCCCUCAGCCAUCCCGGAAUCCGCUGCCGUUGUCUAGCUGCCUACGGAGAUGCUGUUAGUGCAGUAAAAUGGUAAGUUUUAUUAACUUUAUGGUUUUCAAUUGAGUUAUGUCUAUAUUAUUUUCAUGUAUAUCUACAACUACCUUCUAUGCAGGGCAAGUAGGCUUGGCAGAGAACAUCAUGAUGAUUUGGCUCAGUUUAUGCUUGGGAUGGGUUAUGCUACUGAAGCACUUCAUUUGCCUGGGAUAUCUAAGAGGUUUAAUUUGCUUCAUGCCAAGUUCUAAGUAUACUUGAUUCCAAUCUGUAAAGCAAGGCCUUUGUAUAAGUCGAGCUAUGCAUUCAAAUAGUUUAUCGUAGCGCUGAAUGUUUAUAUAUCAAUCUCGGUAUUCUUUGAAUUUUUUCUACUGCUACCAGAAUCAGGAAUUUUAUUGACUAAUUUGAGCAUAUUGUUUCAGAACUGUUGAAUAAUUUGAUUUUGAUGGAAUUUUUAAUUUACGUUUGCCAGAUUGGAAUUUGACCUGGCAAUGCAGAGCAACGAUCUGAAAAGAGCCCUCCAGUGUCUUCUAACAAUGAGUAACAGCAGGGAUAUUGGAAAUGAAACUGUUGGGCUAAACUUGAACGACAUUAUGAGUCUAACUGUCAAAAAGGAAGAUAUUGUGGAGGCAGUUGAUGGAGUAGUGAAAUUCGGGAAGGAAUUUCUUGAUCUUAUUGAUGCUGCAGAUGCCACUGCUCAAGGUGAGAUUGCUCGUGAAGCUCUUAAGCGGUUAGCUGCAGCCGGUUCAGUGAAGGGAGCUUUACGGGGACAUGAAUUAAGGGGAUUAGCCUUACGAUUAGCGAAUCACGGGGAGUUGACUCGACUUGGGGUAUAUCUUGAUUUUUUGCUUUGUUUUCUUUUUGUUUCGGUGUUCUAUUUCGCGUUAGAAUAAAAAAAUAAUAUUAGUUGGUGCAUGGCUUUUAGCCAUCUGCCUAUCUUCCAUGUCUGGUCUGUGUUCUAUAACUGCAUGUAUGAGUUGUGACUUGUGAGCUAUAUACUCUUCAGUCCUUUAGCACACAUUUAUGAACAUUUCUAACAGUUAUUUUUUGUUUGUUUUGCUUAAUUAUAGUCCAGGAAAUCUGCAAUAAAAUAAGUAGGUGUUAUCUGCAGUAUUCGGUGCACUUGAUGUUUGUAGAUAAAUUUGUGCAAUAGGUUUGUCUGUGCUGAUUUGUAUGAGUAACCUGAUUGGCAAUAUUUCCUGCAGGGAUUGGUAAACAAUUUGAUUGCUGUUGGUGCCGGACGAGAGGCAGCAUUUGCAGCUGCACUUUUAGGAGAUAAUGCAUUGAUGGAAAAAGCAUGGCAGGAUACUGGAAUGCUUGCUGAAGCUGUAUUACAUGCUCAUGUAUGAUACACUUUUUUAUUUACAACUUUUUCUGGCGUUUUAGGUUAGUUCUCUGGUCUGACCAUCCUAGUAUUCUGCAGGCCCAUGGGAGACCUUCUUUGAGGAGUCUGGUUCAGGCUUGGAACAAGGUUUUGCAGAAGGAGAUGGAGCAUGGUCCUUCAACCAAGACAGAUGCUGCAGCUGCCUUUUUGGCUUCUCUUGAGGAACCCAAACUUACCAGUCUAGCUGAUGCUGCAAAGAAGCUUCCCAUUGAGAUUCUUCCCCCAGGGAUGGCAUCUCUUUAUGCUCCUAAUCCUGGUCAGAAGAAAUCCACCGGUGCAAUUCAGGGUUCGCUACAAGCAGCAAACAAGCCAUUAUUACUUGAAGGUUCUAAUUCGACACCAGCAACUGCUCCUCAGGCUGCAGAAUCUGGAACUUCUCCAGCGGCGGAGGAAUCAGGCGCCCCUACCUCAGAAUCAGGCGCUCCCCCUACCUCAGAAUCCGAUGCUCCCCCUUCAUCGGAAUCAGGCGCUACCCCUGCAUCGGAAUCAGGCGUUUCCCCUGAACCAGAAUCAGGCGUUCCUCCUGAACCAGAAUCAGGAGCUCCUACUACACCAGAAUCAGGUGCUCCUACUACAUCAGAAACAGGUGUCUCAGAAUCAGUUCAAGUGCCAACACCAGAAACUGAUGCUCAUUCGACUUCAGAAUCAGGUUCUAAUCCUCCUCCAGAAUCAACUAAUGGUGCAACAGGACCCACAUCAGAAUCAAGUGCAGCAGUUGCAUUGGACACAAGUGAACGAUGUUCAGAUAAUCCAUCUUAUGCAUCCCCUGUAAGUAUGUCCAGUAUAGUACCAGCCGAAACUCCACAAACAUCUAGUAAUCCAGUACCGACAGAAGCUCCUAACCAGUUACCAGAAGUAUCAAAGCCGAGUGUCCGCCCAGAAUUACCAAUGAAUUUCUUUACUUGACACUAGCAACCUGGUAAAGCUGUUGAUUUUUUGGUAUACAGUGUGUUGUUUUUACCAUCAUAUGUUCUUAUGGGAGAGGAACUAUCAUCACAGAGUAUAAAGUGAGAGUAGGGUUUGUGUUGUGGCGGACUUGCUAUCUUUUACAUUUGGCUUGACAAUUGUUAUACUACUUUAGUGUGUUACAAUUCAUCCAUUCUUUUCCUCUGAUCUUGUAAUACUCCCAUGCCAAUUUAAACAUGUCUUUCUGUUUUUGAAGCUAUUCAAAAAGUGUAGGCCUCUUUUGUCUUGAAUGUCUUGGAUGCAUAGUCAAUUAUUAUGAGGCCACCUUGUCUGUUUUACAAACAAAUGUGGUGCUUCCUUCUGAUUGGUGGGUAGGAGAAAUGAAGUAUGCACAAUGGAUAUUCCCUUUUUUUGUAUAAGAAAAGGUAUUAAUAGUCUUCUUUUUUAACAUAAAUUUUCUUGGUAUUUGAUUAAGAUGAGUUCAACAUGAAUUCAUAUAUAUUUUCAUCAUAUAUUAUCUCUUAUAUUAAUAUCUAGAGAAAGACGAAUAUGUUUUUUAUUUUGGGAGAAGGGGUAGGUUCACGACCUUAGCUGGUUAACAGGAAUACACGGAAAUAGUAAUGAAAUUUUAGUAUAAAAACACAUUAUUUUCAUUCUCGUUAAUUGGAUUAAAUUUUAUCAUAUUAGUCGGAUUGAAUUCACAAAGUUGCCAUGUUCUUGGGGAUGAUCAAAUAGUAUUUAUUAUUUUUUAAUUUAGGCCCAAAAUUACUUUUUAAUAUUAACAUAUAUUAAAUCAAGUCUUAGAAAAAAUGGUAGUUGUGUGAGCACAAUUAAUCCAUAGGAUAACAUUAUUUAAUUUUUGUCUGAAACUAACAUUAUUUAAUUAUAUUCUAAUUCAAAAUAUUCCAAAAUGUUUGAGGCAAUUAGAACCAGGACAACUCAAAUUGUAAGUCUAUAAGUCACAUUAGUAAAAAAAAAAAAAUAGAAAUAUUUCAAAAACGUAAAGCCACCGACCCAAAAAAAGAGCAUCACGUGUAAUUUGUUGUAUUUAACUUGAAGAGAAAGCCAACGCCGUAUAAAACACCAUCUAGAAACUAACUUAGGGUCUGUUUGGGAUUACUGUUGAAAAUUGCUGUUGCUGUGAGUAAAAGUGCUGUUUAAAAAAGUGCUGUUUAAAAAAGCUGAUACUGUUUGGUAAACUUGAGUUCAAAUGUGCUGUUUGAAUAAAAGCUGAAAACAAAUUGUUUGGUAAAUUUUUUGUUAAACUGCUGUUUAGAGUUAUAAUUAUAAAUAAAAUAAUAUUUUAUUCAUUAUUUCAUAGACAAAUAUUAAACAACAAAUAUAAUUGUGUAAAAUUAGAAAAUAAAAACAAACUGAAACCUAUGAUUCUUGAUCUCAUGUUAAUAUAAACGUAAAGUCAUUGUUGUUUAAUACAAUACGAAUUACAAUGAAAAAAGUUUUAUACGGUGUAUUGCAUGCAUGUUUUGGUGUUCUAUUAACAGUUGCAAAACUAUAAAAUAUUUGUUUUCUUUAAAAUUUAAUUGAUUAUUUUGUAUGAUGUAUGAGGAUUCCGUCCCCCUGAGUUGUAUACAUUGGGGGACGGGGACGCGGCACGGACUUUAAUGCUCCUGUAAAGUGUAGUUGUGUAAUUUAUUUUUAAAAUUUUCUUUUUCUGAAUUAAAGUUUGGAUGUUAUAUUUUUAUUUAGAAAAAGAAAAUCUCAAAAAUAAGUUACGGAACUAUAUUUUAUAAGAGCAUUGAAAUGCGUGUCGAACAGUUGAAAAGAAACGUAUACAAUUAAAUGGGACAGAGGGAGUAUGUUUUUAUCUGCUUUUUUGUUUAGUGAAUUUCCGGUAUUUUUGUCCUCAUGUUAAANNNNNNNNNNNNNNNNNNNNNNNNNNNNNNNNNNNNNNNNNNNNNNNNNNNNNNNNNNNNNNNNNNNNNNNNNNNNNNNNNNNNNNNNNNNNNNNNNNNNNNNNNNNNNNNNNNNNNNNNNNNNNNNNNNNNNNNNNNNNNNNNNNNNNNNNNNNNNNNNNNNNNNNNNNNNNNNNNNNNNNNNNNNNNNNNNNNNNNNNNNNNNNNNNNNNNNNNNNNNNNNNNNNNNNNNNNNNNNNNNNNNNNNNNNNNNNNNNNNNNNNNNNNNNNNNNNNNNNNNNNNNNNNNNNNNNNNNNNNNNNNNNNNNNNNNNNNNNNNNNNNNNNNNNNNNNNNNNNNNNNNNNNNNNNNNNNNNNNNNNNNNNNNNNNNNNNNNNNNNNNNNNNNNNNNNNNNNNNNNNNNNNNNNNNNNNNNNNNNNNNNNNNNNNNNNNNNNNNNNNNNNNNNNNNGGUUAACAGGAAUACACCGAAAUAGUAAUGAAAUUUUAGUAUAAAAACACAUUAUUUUCAUUCUCGUUAAUUGGAUUAAAUUUUAUCAUAUUAGUCGGAUUGAAUUCACAAAGUUGCCAUGUUCUUGGGGAUGAUCAAAUAGUAUUUAUUAUUUUUUAAUUUAGGCCCAAAAUUACUUUUUAAUAUUAACAUAUAUUAAAUCAAGUCUUAGAAAAAAUGGUAGUUGUGUGAGCACAAUUAAUCCAUAGGAUAACAUUAUUUAAUUUUUGUCUGAAACUAACAUUAUUUAAUUAUAUUCUAAUUCAAAAUAUUCCAAAAUGUUUGAGGCAAUUAGAACCAGGACAACUCAAAUUGUAAGUCUAUAAGUCACAUUAGUAAAAAAAAAGAAAUAGAAAUAUUUCAAAAACGUAAAGCCACCGACCCAAAAAAAGAGCAUCACGUGUAAUUUGCUGUAUUUAACUUGAAGAGAAAGCCAACGCCGUAUAAAACACCAUCUAGAAACUAACUUAGGGUCUGUUUGGGAUUACUGUUGAAAAUUGCUGUUGCUGUGAGUAAAAGUGCUGUUUAAAAAAGUGCUGUUUAAAAAAGCUGAUACUGUUUGGUAAACUUGAGUUCAAAUGUGCUGUUUGAAUAAAAGCUGAAAACAAAUUGUUUGGUAAAUUUUUUGUUAAACUGCUGUUUAGAGUUAUAAUUAUAAAUAAAAUAAUAUUUUAUUCAUUAUUUCAUAGACAAAUAUUAAACAACAAAUAUAAUUGUGUAAAAUUAGAAAAUAAAAACAAACUGAAACCUAUGAUUCUUGAUCUCAUGUUAAUAUAAACGUAAAGUCAUUGUUGUUUAAUACAAUACGAAUUACAAUGAAAAAAGUUUUAUACGGUGUAUUGCAUGCAUGUUUUGGUGUUCUAUUAACAGUUGCAAAACUAUAAAAUAUUUGUUUUCUUUAAAAUUUAAUUGAUUAUUUUGUAUGAUGUAUGAGGAUUCCGUCCCCCUGAGUUGUAUACAUUGGGGGACGGGGACGCGGCACGGACUUUAAUGCUCCUGUAAAGUGUAGUUGUGUAAUUUAUUUUUAAAAUUUUCUUUUUCUGAAUUAAAGUUUGGAUGUUAUAUUUUUAUUCAGAAAAAGAAAAUCUCAAAAAUAAGUUACGGAACUAUAUUUUAUAAGAGUAUUGUAAUGUGUGUCGAGCAGUUGAAAAGAAACGUAUACAAUUAAAUGGGACAGAGGGAGUAUAAUUUUAAGUAAUGAUAUUAAAAUCAUAUUUAGAAUAUAAAAUCAUAUUGGAUAAAAUUUAUGGCUUUUUAUAAAAAUUACAGUAUUCUACUUAAAAAAACUACAUAAUUUCUGAAAAAUCAUUUAUAUUUCACACACAAAUAUAAAAUAAAAAUAAUUUCAUAUUAUUAACAUACAAUUUUUUUUAUGUGACUGAGACUACUUCUAUUUUAUUUAGAACACCAAUAUUAAUUCUUAUAUUUAUUUAAAAAUUAUAUAAAAAUCUUUGCCAUUUACCAAAUAUACUACUUAUGUUUAUUUUAUAUAUGUAAAUAUAUAAUUUUCUUCUUCAAUUAAUAUAUAUUACUCAACAAAUUUAAUUUUUGCCUCUAUACUAUAAUGAAAUUUUUUUAAACAAAAUUUAAUGAAACCAAAAAGAUAUAACUUUAAAAUUCAUUUAAACAAUAUUUAUUUCAAAUGUUUUCAUUUAAAUUUUUAUUAGAAAAAAUUCAGCAACAAUAAUCAUGUGUAGCCAACAAUAAUCCAAAAUAUAAUAAAAUGUGUGUUAUAUGUGUGUUUUGUUAUUUUGUUUUAAGGGUAAACUGCUACAAUAUAUUUUAUAAAAAAUAGUUGCUUCUGUGAGGGUUUGAUGCUGGGUCUGUAACAGCUGCGCGCAACAGUGCUUUUGUGAAAAGCAGGGGUAUACCAGCUUUUACAGAAAGCUGCUUUUGGACAAAAAGUGUGGUUAGAAAAAGCGCUUUUAAAUUUUACCAAACACCUUUUUACAGCGGUUUGAGAAAAAGCUGCUGUUGUGGUUUGAAACCACAACCCCAAACAGGCACUUAUUCAAAAAGUCAAAAAGUACCCCAUCAUAUACUCAUAUAUUACAACAUAUACACACGCCUCCGUACACCCCCAAUUCCUAAGCUGUUGGAACUUGUAAACCCCACCCUUACCCCCUCCCACCUCCUAUACUUACACCUAUACAUACACAAAUGUCUAAACCCUAAGAGCAAGUCCAAUAGGUUACCUAUAUGAUGUCCUAAACUCACAUUUAGGUAAUAUGUCAAAAAAAAUGUACUCCAACACUAUCUUAGUGUUAUCCUAAAUCAUUAGCACAACCUUAAUUCUCCUAACCAUUAUCUAUUAAUAAGUAACUUUUAACCAUUACCUAUUUAAUAUUUACGAAUAAAAUAAUCAUCUCUCUCCUUCUUUCUUUGUUUUUUCUCUCCUUUUCUCAUUCUCUCUCUCAAAUUUAUUAUUAAAAUAAUUUUAAGAGAACAAAUAUAGGGAUUGCUAUUGGAGUUGACACUAAAAUAUAGGGAUUGCUAUUGGAGUUGACACUAAAAUAUAGGGAUUGCUAUUGGAGUUGACACUAAAAAUAGAUUAUCUAAAUCACUAACACUCGCUAGGAUCCAUUAUUAUAUAUUUUUAAUAAGUAAUGAUAGGUAACCUAUUGGACUUGCUCUAAAACCACACCAAAACACACAUUAAAACACAUAGUAGUACCGGUUAGGGUUUCGAUUUGGUUAUAAGAUGCCUACUUUUACAUCAAUUGCUCUGGAGAGCUUGAUCGAACCGAGAUUUCGAGAUUCGUACAAAGAUUCCGCGAAAAAAACGGUGAAAUCUAUGAAGGAUGAUGAUGAUAAAGAGGUUAGAGAGGAGGAGGUAAGAAGCCGAGUCGGAACAGAGUGAAUAUCUCGCCGGCGUUGUAUAUAACGCCGGAGCCGACGCCGAUUGUGUACUCGUCGUCGGAAUCGGUGUCUCCGUCGCCGUAUGUGGCGAAUCGGAAAGGACGAGGCGGAUUGAGGCGGCGGAGUGAGGUUGUGGUUAGGAAGGAAGAGGAGAGGGUUGUGGAGGAGGAUGAAAAGGUGAAGAAGGAGAAGGAGAUGAGGGAGGUUGCGGAGGAGAGUGAGGAGUUUGUGGAUACAAGGUGCGAUACGUUGAGUGUUGGGAGUUCGAGUGAUGUCAAGGAGUUGGGGAGUGUCCUUGGAUGGAAUCCGGUUGAGUUUUACGAUGCUGAUGAUGGUGAGCUUUGAAAAUGUUUAUUUCUGUGUGUGUGUGUGUUUGUGUAUUUAUUUGACUUAAUUUUUGUUGAAAUUACAGUGUGUUAAUUGUAAAUGUAUGUGUUUAUUUGUUUUCUUUGUUGUAUUUACGAAGUGGUAUUUUGUUUUAGUUAGGUUUAUGUUGAUUAUUAUUGAGUAUAUGAUGUUUGUAUUGUGGUUUGAGUUUGUGACUAUUGGUAAAUGAAUGUUUGAUUUGUCGUUCAUUUUAGAAUUUGAAGGUGUUUGUUUGUGUUUUAAGAACUUAAUAAGUGUUAGGGGGGUCAUUAUUGGAUUUGAAGUAGUAGAGUGUAGGGGAGAUGAGGAUGUGGUUUGCUGAGUUUUUGUUGCAUUCUGUUUGGGACUAGAGUUCAGGGUGCUAAUGCUGAAUGUGUGGUAUGACAUGGAAUUGUUAUUAGGUUUUUUAUUUUGGCGUGACAUAUUGAAGAUGAUUUUGUGUUGACCAGGAUUCUAAUUAGGCCCUAGCUCAGUAAUCUAUGCACAAGGUUUUAAGUGAGUUUUUUGAAUAAAGAAAGGGUUGGUUAGGGUUCGCAUUGGGAUGAUCUGUUGAGCUGUUUUCGCUCUAGACUGUUAGGAUUUCAUAUCUGAUCAGAAUAAUUAGGCUCACUGUUACGUAUUUUUGGAAGAAUUUAAUGACCUAUUCACUACCAGGGUCAUAAGAUAUGUGGGCACUGCCUUAUUUAAUACAUGUAAUCUAGUCUUUUUGGUUUUCAUAUUGCUCCUUUUUCUCCUUUAUGAUUUAAUGAAGUAACUGGCCAUACAUUUGCAUACAUAAUAUGCUAAAUGCAAAUCAAUACAAUUUUUUAAUAAAGAAACAGUGUUAGUUUGUACCUGGAUUCCAGUUCAUGUCUUGAUCUCAGAAAACAGUAGUUUGGAUUCAAUUCUGCAAGAGAUUGAGAACUUAGCAAUUAAUGGACAAUAAAUACAUCUUUGUUAUUGCUUGUAUAUAGUAUUUAACUCUGCUUAUAACUUUUAUGUUUCUGCUUUUCUCAUAAAUAGUUAAAUUGUUUCGCAUCAGCUGGAAAACUUAUCUUUAAUUGCUAUGAACAAAUUAUGAUGGUGUGUUUAUGAAUAAUUUUGGGAUGAAGUGGAGCUCUGAGACCAAAUUCGGCAACCCUGUUUUCUUAUAGAAUUUCAAUUUGUUUCUUGAUACAGUGUUUUUAUUAACAGACCAGUUUUAGCCUCAUUUGUUCUCUUCUACUUGUCCAUAACUGCACAGAUGAUCACUGUAGUUUCAAUCUAUUUGGAUAUUUUUCCGUCUCCCACUUUACUCUAAAGAAGGCAUAUUAAAAUAAUUACUUAUAUGACUGAAUACAAUUUUGAAUUGGAAAAACAUGUUUUCAUUAGCAGGCUUGUUGUCAGUUUAGCUACUGCUGUGAAUACUGAAAUUUGUGCAUAUCUUUUGAUUAAACUAAAAUGAUCUUUUUGAUCUUCCAUACCGAGACUUUAUAACCCAGGCUUAUGCUCCUAAAUAUUCAAUUGAAAAUAGUUAUUGACAUUGGUAAUAUUUAGUAGCAGAUUUCUCUCAUGAUGGGUCCAUGUCAAGUACACAACAUUCUUGUCAUAGUAUCGAGUUAGAAAUGCGUGCCACAAGACUGAGCCUUCUUGAUGAGAUUGGAAAAAGAAAAGCUGAGGAUGUUUUUCGUCUGAUGUACAGCCAGUGGCAGAGGGUCGCUGAUCUUCUUUUGGCUCAAUCAGGAUUAAGAUUUCCAGCACCUUCUAAUUGCAUGCAAUUUGAAAUUGGUCCAGUAGAGCAGUUCUGUCAGGAACUUGUUGUAACUAGAUUUGUUUCUGAAGCAUUAGGUCAGGGCUUAGCACGUGCUGAAACUGAGAUUGCUGCAGAGGAAAUUUUUAAAGCUAAAGAUCAGGAGAUUUCUCGAUUAAGAGAUCGACUGCAAUAUUGUGAAGCUGUUAAUCAUGAAAUGUCUCAGAGGAACCAGGAAGUUAUUGGUAAGUACUGGUAUAAAAAUCUUGUUAGCUCAAGUGAUUUACAGUAUGGCUUGUGUUAUUCUUGUCAAAAAGUGGAGAUUUUCUGAUAGAAAAAUAGUGUAAAUUAGGGGUGUUGGCUCGUUCUUUCACAAUUCGAAGUAAGAUGGUCCAAAAAUCAUAUUCUGAAAAAAUGGCACCUUAUAUCACAUAAGAUGCAUGUAAAAAUUUACGUUUUUCUGAUAACACAAUUUGUUUUUGCAUUUUUAGCUGAUUUUCAAGUAAUAUCUGAAAAAUGAAAAACAUUCUUAUCGUCUGCUACUUAAAAAAAUAUUGGGCACCUGUGUUGCUAAACGCAAGCUGUACUUGGGUUCCUUUUCUUAUUUUUUCAAAUAUCUACAGCCCAUGCCCGUUAAAGGAGACAACCCAGUUAAUAUAUGAAUUGUUUAAAGUUUAUAAAUGCAUUUUUUUUGUUGCGUUUCUUUGUGAAACAAGGGGCCACUUUUCUGAAGAGUGUUAUUCUGGGCAUUUUAACUUCAAAUUGUGACUAAAAAGUGCCAUUUCUCGUAUAUUAGUAUUACAAAGGUCAUAAUGUCAUGCUAAUUCGAUAACCUUGUUUCAUAUGCUCUUGGUUUUGUAGUAAAUGAUUACAUACUGCGAUAGGUUAGAAUGUUGAUGUUACUGCCAUCACUUUAAAAACCUUUUAUAGCCUAAACUAUUUAGCUGGCCGGUGUGGUUUUCAUUCACAUAACUUGUGAGUCCCAAAUUGUGGUGCUUUAGCUAAUGUGGUUAAGCCUCAUUAUGGGAACAUUAAUUUUUUAGCAUGGCCUGGAUAACUUGAUCGAUUUUUGACUUAUGUAUUUAAUCUAACCAUGAAAUGCACAGAAGUUUGCGAAUUCAUCUUGUUUAAACUUCUGUUACUGUGUAUUUUUCAAUCUUGUUUUUUUCUUGAUUGUGUUGGUUUUUUGUUAAAAGGAAUUAAAUAUAACAAGUAAUGCAUGCAUGCAAGAGUUACAUUUAAAUAGAGUAAAUGCGUGUCUGUGUGUGUAUAUAUACUGGUAUGUAUAGUCUAUAUUGUUUCUGUUGAUUUGAUUUAAGACAUUACAUAACUGUAAGGAGAGCUACAUCUGUUUGUUGUUGACAAAAAAUCACUUGAAUGAUUGGAAAAUUAUAGUUGUCAAUCUUCCUCUUUCUAUAUUAUUGAGCAGAUAAUUGUAUUGUAUUUACAGUUUGAAGUUGAAUAACCCUUAAUCUGAUCAUUUUCAGAGGUAGCACGAAAGCAGCGCAAAAAGAAAAAAACCCUGCAGAAGUGGCUAUGGUGUGGCCUAGGUCUCUCUAUUACAAUCGGAGCUUCAGUGGUUGCUUAUUCUUGCCUUCAGCAGACAAGUAAAUAUCGAGCCUUCGCUGACUUCAAGUGAUUCUGUAAAUGCUACUGGCAUAAGUUCAUCAGAAUCGGCUUAAAGGGUAGGUAUCUAGUAUUAUCACGAAAUUUUUUGCUAUUUUGGCCUCUUGUUUCGUGAAGCAAUAACUAUAGAGCAAGCAAUAAUUCGCCGAUCUCACUCUUUUUGCAUGCAUGAGUUUAAUUUGAUAGUCUUCAGUACCGGACAUGCUUAAAUUUAGCAAGGUACAUAGCUAGUAUGUUACUGUGGUGCAAUAAUAUCACAUGAAUGGUAACAACAGUUGAGGCUCCCAAUGUAAUUUGAACAUGUUAGAUCGACAAUGAGCUUUAAGCUGCUGAACUAGUUGAAUCUAUAUUCUUGGUGGUUACUUCUUUAAUAUUCUGAACUUAUAGUAAACAUUCAUAGAGCAAUUAAUAUUGCAGUUGAUAUGCCCAUAAUGAAUGGGGAAGGAAAUCAAUAUAGCCAAAUCUGUUUACAAUGCUAGUGGUUAAACCUGCAGUAUGUAGCAUGUAGAUGUAGGCUCUGAAUUAUUGUAUUGCAGGCCCUGCGGUACAUUUUCCUCUGUAUUCCCAGUUAAUUACUUCUAGUAUGUGACUCUCUUGUUAUUGUAUUAAGAAUUUUGAAUAUAUCAUUCUUCCUUGACAAAUAGCAAAAUGUUUUAUUUUUCUUUGCUUUUGCCAUGCCACAACCCACAGGGUUUCCAUCUGCAAUCAUGAAUGCUUAAACAUGUGCAAAGGAUUUCCCUUCUAUGACCAUCCCAAGUUUUGCCAGCAGUGCGAGAGACGACUAAUUAAAUUUUCUUCAAGAACGGGCAGUAGGUGUAAAUCGAACAAUUUGGAAUCUAGUCUCGUUUUUCCUAUACUUUUUUUUUGCUAAAAGAUUUUAGUGUCUUUGACUAUUUCAACAACCCAUUUUGUAAGGAAAACCUACCAACCCCUACGAUUAAUUAGGUCUUGAUCUAUAAAUCUAAAGUUUGCACGGACGAAAUCAGAGGCGUUAUCAUAGUGUUUACGAUAUGGAAAUUUUUGAACAAAAAUAUCAGCACCCAGCUUCGGGCCAAUUUUUCGGGCGAGCUAAAUGAUUUAUUCCCAAUAUGCUAGAAACUUAGAGCCUACUGCACUCUUCUCGUUUGUGUGAUAAAAAAUUAAUAAAAAUUAGCAUGCAUUCGGGUGAUCAUCAAACCAUUAAAUGUGAAUUUUUUUGCAUGUGAUCACAGUUUGAUCGCUGAUAAAUAGCUAGGUCGGUGAGGGUUGCAAUUUGAUAUCAUAAUACGUUGAAUCGCAAAUUUAUAUAUUAUAUAUUAUACGGAAUUAAUGUACAUAUACAUAUGUUAACAAGUCGGUCUUUAAAUUAAAAUCACUUUAAUUAUUAUUUACUUAAUAUUACAAUUUUUUUAAUCAUUAUUUACCUAAUAUUAAAUUUUUUUUAUAGCACUACGAUUCAACUAGAUCUAAAAGUAUUUCAAAAAAUAACACUAGUAUUACAAAUUUAUGUGAGUUUAUUAUUGUUAAUAUUAUUUGUUUGAAGCAUUUUUAUCUGACUAUCUUCAUAAAUUCUGCUGCUUCGUUAUGUUAAGUAUACAAAUUAAUGUUACUUUUAUGAGUGAAGUGCACUUUGUAUACUCCUACUCCACUCAGGACAUGAUAAGUGCAUAUUUUUGUAUAUUUUAAAUGCCUAAUAUCCGAGACAACCAAGUUCGGUUGAAUCCGGCCAAAUGCUCAUUCGGCCUGACAGGAGGCAAGUUCCUGGGCCACCUCUUGACCCACCGAGGCAUUGAAGCUGACCCAUCUCAAAUCAAAGCCAUUAAAGAAAUGGAACCUCCCAGGACCCUGAAGGACUUACAGGUCCUCACAGGCUGCAUCGCUGCUCUAUGACGUUUCAUCCCACAGUCAUCUAAAAGAAGCCUACCACUAUACGAAGCCAUCCGGCAUGCAGCCAAGGCCAACAAGUUCGAAUGGACAAAGGAAUGUGAAACCAGUUUCUCCAGUAUAAAAUAUUUUCUGUCAACCCCACCAAUUCUAACGAAAGCUACACCUGGGGAACCUUUGAAAGUUUAUCUGUCCGCCUCAGACUCAACAACAGCAGCUGUGCUGGUAAAAGACGUCAACGGCGAACAGGCUCCCGUCUACUACGCCAGCCACCUAUUGAAAGAUACAGAGACAAGAUAUAGCAGGAUAGAAAAAUUGGUGCUAGCUUUGGUCAUGGCCAGUCGAAAGUUAAAACACUAUUUCCAGGGCAGGGAUAUCACCGUUCUAACGAACCAACCGCUUCGGUGAAUCCUCCACCGCCCUGACAUGACCGGCAGACUCGCGGCAUGGACGGUAGAGCUAAGCCAAUUCAGUCUCGAGUUCAUGCCCAGAACGGCAGUUAAGUCUCAAGUACUAUCUGACUUCAUCGCGGAGUGCAAUUUCUCAGAACCAACCCCAGCUGGCUCGGGUCAACUUCUCUGCGACAAAGCAUGGACCUUAUUCACUGACAGGUCAUCAACCUCAGAGGCAGGAGGAGCAGGGGUCCUCCUCAUAAGCCCCGAGGGAUUCAAAGUACAGCAAGCAAUACGCUUCAGCUUUUCAACCACGAACAACGAAGCGGAGUACGAGGCUCUAAUAGCAGGCCUCAACCUAGCAAAACACUUGGAAGUGAAAAUCAUUGAUAUCUUCUGCGACUCCCAACUCGUAGUCAAACAGGUCUCGGGAGACUUCAAGACCUCCAAUGACAGAAUGGCCGCCUACCAAAAAGUAGUGGUAAAUAUACUGGACACACUGACCUCAUGGACCAUAAAGAACAUAGCUAGGUCAGCAAACCACUGGGCAGACGCUCUCUCUAGGCUUGCUACCUCUACAGCGACACAGUCCCAGGACCCGAUUUACAUUAAUGAAUUGUCCCAGGCUUCUACCAUCAGAAAUGAGGUCAAUCUAACCAGUCUCGCCCCCGAUUGGAGGACUCCGUUUAUUGAUUUCAUCAAGGGCACUCUGCAAACCCAAGACAAAAAUGAGAAAAGAAAGAUCGAAUUCAAAGCGCGAAAUUUCUGCCUCAUAGACGACAAGCUUUACCGCCGGGCCUUAACGGAGCCUCUCCUCAAAUGCGUAGGACCCGAUGAGGCCCUCGUCGCCAUGAUAGAAAUUCAUUCAGGCAUAUGCGGAGAGCACGCCUCAGGGAAAAACAUGGCCUUGAAGCUGAUAAAGCACGGAAUCUUCUGGCCAACCCUAAGGGCCGAUUGUGAGGAAUUCACAAAAAAAUGCAAGCCAUGCCAACUUUACGGCGCGAUGAACCAUCGACCUGCAACAGGCUUCUCCGCUUCGCAGGCUCCGUGCCCAUUUUUCAUGUGGGGAAUGGACCUCGUCGGCCCGCUCCCCAAAUGCCCAGGUCAGAAACAAUUCCUCAUUGUGGCAAUCGACUAUUUCACAAAGUGGGUAGAGGCUAAACCACUCGUCGGGAUACGAGAAAUAGAAACAAUCGAUUUCUUCAUGAGUCCAUAGUCUUCCGUUUCGGGGUUCCUCGCAUUAUAGUGACCGAUAACGGCUCUCAGUUCACAGGAAAAGACUUCGAAGAGGCUCUGGCCCAACUAAAGAUUAGCCACAUCAGAUCAUCAGUGGCAUACCCCCAGGCUAAUGGGCAAGUAGAAAUCACCAACAAGGCAAUUCUACAAGGGAUCAAAAAGAGACUCUUGGAAGCAACUACCAACUGGGUAGACGAACUCCCCAACGUCCUUUGGGGUCACAGAACCACCCCGAGAGCAGCCACAGGGCUAUCUCCAUUCAAAAUGGCGUACGGGACAGAGGCUGUGCUUCCCGUGGAAAUAAGUAUGGGAUCGCCAAGGAUAGAGGACUUUUCACCUGAGAAAUCUGAAGAGAGCCUGAGACUCGAGAAUGACCUGAUCGAGGAAUCUAGAGAUAAAACUCAACUCAAAGUGGCCCAGUAACAGAAAAAAGUGGCCCAGUACUACAAUUCCAAGGUUAAAAUCAGACACUUCGUGGAAGGCGAUCUGGUGCUCCGCGUAGCCGCCGCCUCAAUGCCCGCGAGGCAAAGCAAGCUUUCAGCCCCAUGGGAAGGGCCCUACAUAGUCACUAAGGUUGUCAGGCCAGGCACCUAUCGACUCAACAACCUCAACGGGUCACCCGUCCUCAACACAUGGAACGCCAUCCACCUUAAAAAAUUCUAUCAGUAAAACAUCACAACUCCAGUAAAGGAAAGAAAAUCUCCAACCCACAAUCAAGGCAUAGAAGCCAUCCACCAAUUCUCCGCAGGAAGAAGAUUAUCAUCGUCAUUUUAGGAUAUUUCUUAAUAUAUUUUGUUAUGUUAUCAAAACAUCUUUUAGUUGCACCUAGGCAUGUAGCCACUAAAACCUUUUGCUUUAAAAUCGUUUUAAGUAACGUGUUCAAAAGCUCUUGUCACAAAAUCUUUCUAUAUAUGUUUCUGAAAUCUCAAAAUCAUUCUAAAACAUACUAUUUGACAUCACAAGUCACACACAUACACCAUUUUCAAAAAAAAAAAGAAGAAGAAGAGAAAUAGAGGAAGCAAAGCAAGAAGGAAUAAACGCCACACAAGGCAAAUCGCCACAAGCGCCGCUAUGAGGCAAAUCGCCAAUCAAAAUUAGAAAGCAUAAAAGACGCCAUCUCAAAACAUCAGGAGAACUCCUGAAGAUAAGAACGCAAAAGCAAAGGAAAAAGAAACAAAAAGACACGCCAUAACACAACGAAAACUCCAUGGAGUACACCAAAAAGUACCAGCAUAAUUCUACUCCACAACCAAGUUAUAGCGCAACAUUCCAAGAUGAAAAAGUCGAAAUUACACCAUACCUCUGAGGCAUCCCUCAGGAAUUCAAAUCAAGUCCAGAAAAACCAAACUCCCAAAAGUCUAAGCAACCAAAAGCAAGUUAUAUUACAAACUCCCCAUUAUGGGCAUACCCAGGGUUUCAACAAAAUAAAAACGCCGUACAGGCAUCAGGCGCCAGGGCCAUCUGGAACAGAAGAGUUAGCCCCCUCAUCUCGAGCUCGGGCCACGUCCUCAUAGUGAUGACCAAAAGUAUGAGGCCCCAUGUCAUAACCAGCUUUGACAGCGCGCUCCCAACAAAGGACAUACCCGUUCUCAAGGGCAGCAAAGGCAUCAUCUUGGCUCGUCUUCAGAGCAUCCUCGACUGCAGCAAGCUUUUUCUCCAGCUGCACCUUGUGCUUACCAAGUUCAGCAAUAACUAAGCUACUGUCAACCCUCAUUUGGGUCACCUCCCCGGUCAGCUCCGAUUGAAUGUUUUGGUAGGAGGCCACCAAGGCAUUCAGGACCUCCUUAUCAGCUGUCAGCGCUUCAACCUUUUUCUCUAGAUCGGCAACGACCCCACUAGCAUCUCGAUUCUUGCGUCCAAGCGCAGCAACCCGCUUUUCAACAUCAGCUUUGCUCCUUUGCAUCUCUAGCACAUCAGCUCGAAGGCGGCGAAGCUCCGCCUCUUGGUUCCCACGAACUCCCAAAGCCACAAGACGAUCGAACUCCACAGUAAACUGCAAAAACAAAACUCUGUCAAAAAAAAAGAGAGAGAAGAAGAAGCAACAGUACAUAUAGGAGCUAAUAAAGAGCAAUUAUCCCAAGGAAAAAGUCCCAACAAAAAGGGUAAAGACAAACCUGGUCAAGCAGAAUCUUUGCCGACGAAGCAGCACGGGUGGCAGAGAACACCUCAUCAACAUCACGCCUUCCAGGCUCAUCACCAAGUAGCCCCACAACCUCUUUCCCAGGGGAAUCCACCCCCUCAGCUCCAAGACCACGAAGCUUAAUCACAUAUUUCGUCUUCUUCAAGGGCGGUUUCAAGCUUUCUUCCUCAGCCUUUCGAAUGCGCUUACGAUCAGAAGUCCGAGUAGCAACAGAAUCACGGCCAGCCCCAGACACUUCCCCUAACAGCUCCAGCGAUCCACUAGCAUCAACAGGCUCACCCUGUGGUUUAGAGGUUUCCUCGAAAUCCUUUUCUCGAGAAUACUCAAUACCCCUACCAGCCAUGGAAGAGGCACCCCUCUUAGCAAUCAUCGACAGCAUCGCAGCACUCAACAUCUUUCGAGGAGACUUCAACAGCACCCGCAACGGCUCCCCAGUCACUGUUACAAACAGAAGACACCAAAAAUUUUUUAGAAACAAGAAACAAAAGCACAAAACAUCAAGCAAGCAUAAUUUCUUACAACAAUGUGAAAUCAAAAAGUCAUUUUUCGUAAACUCCUCAGAUGAGAACAUCUUCUUUCUCUCUAAGAAAGAGGUCAAAACAGCCUCAGGCAAGCCAGGAAGAUGAUUUAACUCAUGAAGCCAAUCCUUGGAAAUAUCACUCCACGGGCUAACCAAUCCCAACUCCCCACCAGCAUAAUGAGCCCACUUUCCAUGCCACCCGGUGUUGGAGGAACGAACAUCAACUAGGCGGACUCGGCCAAGCUUUUUGUCCAAAUAAAACUGGCCCCCCGCAUAUUUCACCCGGUAAAUCGAGAGCAACAGAUCAACAGUGGGCACCUUCUUCUUUUCAAAGCUUUGGGCAAUGACCCCGCACACCUGAACCACGGCAUUAGGAGCCAGUUGGGCCACACCGCAGCCUAAUAGCUCAAGCAAAGCAGAGAACAAAGGGUGCAUGGGCAGACGAAAACCCAAUUCAAAGAACAAGAGCGGAAUCGCCUGCCAUCCCUUCUGAGGCAUAUGCCAUAUCCGAUCCCUCUCUCCAGGGAGAUGGAGGGAAUACACGCCGUCAGUCCCACAAUAUUCCUGGAGGGCGGCAAACUCAGGGGAGUCGGCGGUAAUAAUGCUCCGUUGAUAAAAUGAAGGCUUCGACCGAAACAACCGCUUUGCCUCCUCGGACACAGGGGAAAAAGAGGGCAAAACCCCCGCUUUCACUGGAGUUCGGCGAGUCAUAUCCAAGAUAAGAGGAUCAACAGAUUCAAGAAUCUCUAAAUCAUCGUCCAAAGACUCAAGAUUGUGCGAAGAAGAGUGGGGAACGUAAGUAGGAGACAAAGGGGUUAAAUCAUCGUAUACAGUAUCACCAAGAGCCUCGGCUUCCGAGAAAGAAGAAGAAGAGGGGCGUAGCUAUGAACAAGACAUGACAAAAAGAUUAGAAAAAGCAAGAGAAGAAAUUUACCUAGAAAAGUACAAGUGAUAGCCUUGAGGAAGCGUGUCUCGAUAAUGAACAAACACGGAGCUUUAAAUCACAGAAGGUUGAUCGACACAAGUAAUCCCAAGAGGCGCCGGUUCCCAAGACAAGUUCAAAAAAUAUAUAUAUCUGAAAAACAAAAGGGCAAGAGCCAAUGGACCGAAAACCCCGGGCUCGUCUAAAGACCAGCCUCAACUGGGGGGGGGGACUAAAUGUUGGGCCAUAGCCCCGAAGAAGAAAGGCCUGCCAAAAAGCCCAUAAGCACCAAAGGCCUGUAAACCUAGCACGUGAGUAGCACACGUAAGGACUAGUAUAUAUAGAAAGCAAAGAUACCUGUAAUGGGAGAGGGAAAAUAGAAGAGUAAAAGGAUAUAUAUACAUUAUGGUUGUAAGUAUCAACAUCGAGUUCAUGCCCUUUACUGAGUUUGUUAGGAAUAUGUGAUGCUUGAUGAUACAAGGUAUUUUAUUCUUACUUAGAAUAAAAUUGCAUGUAGCUGAUCAAUUGGUAGCAUGCUAAGACAGUAUCAAUUGAUCAGAUUGACCCAUCAACGGCUGAUGAGGUAUUGUAACAAAGCUGGAGCAUUUUAGCAGUUGAAGUAAAAUAAUGAGUACUUUUAGAUUAGCAGUUGAUCUAUCAACGGAUGUUUAGAUAGGGUGACAUAAUUGAAUUGGGCCAUAGCCCCGAAGAAGAAAGGCCUGCCAAAAAGCCCAUAAGCACCAAAGGCCUGUAAACCUAGCACGUGAGUAGCACACGUAAGGACUAGUAUAUAUAGAAAGCAAAGAUACCUGUAAUGGGAGAGGGAAAAUAGAAGAGUAAAAGGAUAUAUAUACAUUAUGGUUGUAAGUAUCAACAUCGAGUUCAUGCCCUUUACUGAGUUUGUUAGGAAUAUGUGAUGCUUGAUGAUACAAGGUAUUUUAUUCUUACUUAGAAUAAAAUUGCAUGUAGCUGAUCAAUUGGUAGCAUGCUAAGACAGUAUCAAUUGAUCAGAUUGACCCAUCAACGGCUGAUGAGGUAUUGUAACAAAGCUGGAGCAUUUUAGCAGUUGAAGUAAAAUAAUGAGUACUUUUAGAUUAGCAGUUGAUCUAUCAACGGAUGUUUAGAUAGGGUGACAUAAUUGUAAAUAUGAGAAGUCAUGUAAUCUAUUCAAGUGAAGUGAAGAUCGAUCGGUAAUUUAAAGUAUCAAUGGCUAUUUGGAAAGAAGAUUAUCAACCGCUACAUCAACAUCAUCAUUAUCCCAUAACUCAAAGAAGACAAUCAACUGCUAUUUCAGUGUAUCAUCAAUUGAUGAUAUUAGCAAUUGAUUAUCAGCAAUUGACAGCUGCAAGUCAGGGAAAAGACAAAGUCCACAUGGGUUGAUGUGACAGAUGCUGCACCAGCUUUGGAAGCUAAACCAAAAGGAGUUUAGUCAAAUAUUGAGAACCUCGAAGCCUACCAUUUCUGGCAAAGCAACAAGAAUUUCAAGCUGCCAAAUGCAGUAUCAAGUCCAAGAAAUUCUAUAUUUGUACUAGCUAGAAAGUGAGUAGGAAAAUACUUUUACAGACUAGUUUUGUUUGUAGUAGUAUAUAUUCACUUUGUAAUUUCACAUUUCAAAGUAUCAAACACCAAGAACUGAAGAGCAAAGUAUUAGAAAAAGUUAGCAAGAAAUUGUAAGCUUCUGCUCUUCAUUCUUUGUAAGCAGCCAAGUAUUUUUACUUGGAAGGUUCUUGAUAUAAAAAUCUCUCAGGUGGAUCAAACAAUCCACCUGAAAUUUUUAAGAUCCUUGUUCUUUAAAUUUCUGUUUUAGCUUUUAUAUUCUCUUGUAUUUUGAAUAUGAUCUGCUAUGCAAAAAGAUAUUGAAUUUUUUGUAGAUUGUAUUCAACCCCCCCCCUCUUCUACAAUCUAACUUAUUGUUUGAAUUGUCUGAAUAACAAUUGGUAUCAGAGCCAGGCUUCUAACAUACAAGAAGUUUUAGAUCCUAAAGACAAUCAACAAUGGGAAGAAGAGAUGAAGGAGUCAAGAUUCCAAUGCUGGUCAAAGAACACUACUUUCAUUGGAAAGUGAAAAUGAGGAUGCAUCUACUCUCCUUGGAUCCUAGCUACAUCAACUGUAUUGAGAAAGGACCACAUGUUCCAGUUAAGAUCAACACUGCCCUGAGACUUGAUGGAAGUGAAGCUGAAGAUGUUGAAGUGCCUAAAAAUCCUUCUGAGUUCACUGAGGAAGAUGAGAAAGAAGUGCACAAGGAUAACAAGGCUAUGAACAUUCUGUUCAAUGGUAUUGAUGAUGACAUGUUUAUCGUGUUAUCAACUGUCCAACUGCAAAGGAAGUAUGGGACACCAUUCAAACCUUAUGUGAAGGCACUGAUCAAGUUAGGGAAAACAAAAUGCAGCUGUUUGUUCAACAGUAUGAGAGCUUUCACUCUAAAUCUGGUGAAUCUCUAAAUGAUUUGUUUAACAGAUUUCAAAAACUGUUAAAUGGAUUAAAGUUGUAUGGUAGAAUCUACAUGGUCAAGGAUUCAAAUCUCAAAUUCUUGAGAGCUUUACCUAGAGAUUGGAAACCCAUGACUGUUGCUCUAAGACAGGCUCAGAAUUUUAAUGAAUACUCUCUUGACAAAUUAUAUGGUAUUCUUAAAACAUAUGAGCUUGAAAUUCAGCAAGAUGAAGAACUGGAAAAGAACUUCAAAAGGGAGAAAACUGUGGCUCUUGUGGCAGAAAAGGAAGAGGAAGAGGAGAAGACAUUAAAGUCUGUGAUUGCUGGAAAGACCUCAAGCAGCUCUGCUUGUGAUGGAAAGAAGCAUGAUGGAAAGAAGAAAGGAAAAGUCAUUGAGGAAGAUGAAGAACCUUCAGCUCAAGAUGAGCUAGAUGAUCUUGAUGAACAUCUAUCAUUUCUUGCCAGAAAAUUCUCCAAACUCAAAUUCAAAAGAAAUGCUGUCAGCUCUAGACCAUUCAACAGAGGAAAUCAAUCUAAAUCAUCUGGUAUGGUUGAUAGAUCAAAAUUCAAAUGCUUCAAUUGUGGUCUACCUGGACAUUUCUCUAAUGAGUGGAGAAGAUCCUCUGCUGAAAAGAAAGGAUCCUCCUCAGAGAAUGUAGACUAUAGAAGAAAAUAUUUUGAUCUACUCAAGCAAAGCAAGGAAAAGGCAUUCAUAACUGAGGAUGGUGACUGGGCUGCUGAUGAAGGUGAUUCUGACACUGAGGAGCAUGUCAAUCUUGCUUUGAUGGCAAUUGGAGAUGAUGCUGAUUCUUCUACCACCAGCAAUGGACAGGUAAAAACAACCAACACAGCUGAUCUCACUAAAUCUGAAUGUAAACAAAUCAUUGAUGACAUGUCUAAUGAAAUCUAUAACCUUAGAGUCUCUCUUAAAUCUCUAACAAAAGAAAAUGUUAGAAUUAAAGGGACUAAUGAUUUGCUUGCUGAAAGAAAUGGAAAGCUUGAAACUGAAUUAAUCCAAAUGGAUAAAUUCAAAAAGGCUUCUGAGCUUGCCAAAGAUGAGUUGUUGGCUGUUCUAAAAAGAGAAGAGAUUCUCAAAAAGCAAUUGGAAAGGGAACAAGAGAUUAUUGCUAAAUGGAAGGACUCUAGGAAUGUUCUUGAGAACAUGUGCUCCCACAAGUUCUUGAGGAAACUUGUAAGAGUGCCUGGAGAUUCUACCCUGCUCAGCAAUUUUGAGGAGAGAGCUGGCCCAAGUAUAACCUUUGGAGAUGACAGCAAAGGAUUCACCUUGGGAUAUGGCAUAAUUUCAAAAGGGAAUGUCAUCAUUGACAAUGUUGCACUAGUGAAAGGGCUUAAGCACAAUCUGCUUAGCAUCAGUCAACUAUGUGACAGAGGACAUCAAGUUUGGUUCUCAAUAGAAGCCUGUGUUAUCUCUGAUAAGAAAGAUAACAAAGUGGUUUUAACUGGAAAUAGAAAAGGAAAUGUCUACAUAGCCGAUUUCAACUCAACAAGUGCAGAUUCUCUUACUUGCUUAUUCAGCAAAGCAAGUUUGGAUGAGAGUUGGCUGUGGCAUAAGAAAUUAUCUCAUUUAAACUUCAAGGCUAUGAAUGAUCUUGUGAGAAAAAAUCUUGUUAGAGGACUGCCAAAAUUGGAAUUUUCCAAGGAUGGUCUGUGUGAUGCUUGCCAAAUUGGAAAGCAAAGAAAGUCCUCUUUCAAAAGCAAACUAAAAUCAUCAAUUGAUAGACCUCUACAGCUUCUACAUAUGGACUUGUUUGGACCAGUCAACAUAAUGUCCAUUUCAAAGAAGAAGUACUGUCUGGUGAUUGUGGAUGAUUUUACAAGAUUUACUUGGACUUAUUUUCUUCACUCCAAGGAUGAAGCAAGUGAAAUCAUCAUCAAUCAUAUCAAGAUAGUUGACAACAUUGAUCCAGGAAGAAAAGUUUCAAGGAUCAGAAGUGAUAAUGGGACUGAGUUCAAAAACUCUGUAAUGAAGAGUUUCUAUGAAGAUAAAGGAAUUAACCAUGAGUUCUCUGCUGCAAGAACUCCUCAACAAAAUGGUGUAGUUGAAAGAAAGAACAGAACUCUUAUUGAAGUUGCUAGAACAAUGCUUGAAGAAUCAAAGUUACCUACCUAUUUUUGGGCUGAAGCUGUUAACACAGCAUGUUAUACUCAAAAUAUCUCUUUGAUCAAUCAAGCACAAGGAUUGACUCCCUAUCAAUUGUUCAAAGGGAAGAAGCCAACAUUAAACUUUCUGCAUGUCUUUGGAUGCAAAUGUUUUGUGUUAAGAAAUCAAGGUAAAAAUCUUGGUAAAUUUGAAGCAAAGGCAGAUGAAGGAAUAUUUGUUGGAUAUGCUGCUGGAAAAGCCUAUAGAGUUUAUAAUUUAAGAUUAAACAUUGUUAUGGAAUUCAUCCAUGUGAUGUUUGAUGACAAGAAAAUACAAGGCUUAGAUGAUGAAGGAUUUCAUGAUGUUCUUCAAUUUGAAAAUGAAUCUGAAGGAAUAAUUGAACUGGAAAGUGAUGAUGAUGACUACUUUGAAAGGGUAAAUUCUGGUGUAAUUCCUCCAUCAACUGGUAAUAAUUUACCCAAUACCAGAACAUCAGUUGAUGUAACUCAAUCUACAUCAAUGGCUAAUGAUUUAUCCAAUACUAGUUCAUCAAUGGCUGGUAAUUCCAGGUCCAUACACUUAGGGGGAGCCUCUCAAAAUGAAACUGACUUUACAAAUGAAGCCAGUUCAUCCAGAUCAAAUCUUCCUCCACAAAGGAAAUGGACAAGAGAUCAUCCCUUUGAGCUUAUUAUUGGAGAUGCUACUGCUGGUGUCAAAACAAGAAGAGCUACUAUGGAUGAAUGUCUCUACAGCAGCUUCCUCUCUCAGGAAGAACCUAAAAAGGUUGAAGAAGCCCUUCUUGAUCCUGACUGGAUUUUAGCUAUGCAAGAGGAGCUGAAUCAGUUUGAAAGGAACAAAGUGUGGAAGCUGGUACCCAAACCCAAAGAUAGAGCAAUUGUUGGUACAAGAUGGGUAUUCAGAAAUAAGAUGGAUGAAAAUGGUGUGGUGACAAGGAACAAAGCAAGACUGGUUGCUAAGGGAUACUGUCAAGAAGAAGGAAUAGAUUAUGAUGAGACAUUUGCUCCUGUAGCCAGACUUGAAGCCAUAAGAAUCUUUCUUGCUUAUGCUGCUCAUGCUAAUUUCAAAGUCUAUCAAAUGGAUGUCAAGAGUGCUUUUCUAAAUGGUGAGCUUGAAGAGGAAGUUUAUGUAAGUCAGCCACCUGGUUUUGAAGAUCCAAAUUUUCCAGAAUUUGUAUAUCUUCUCCUGAAAGCUCUCUAUGGACUGAAGCAAGCACCUAGAGCCUGGUAUGACACCUUAUCACAGUUUCUUCUUGAGAAUCACUUCACAAGAGGUACUGUUGAUAAGACAUUAUUUUAUAGAAAUGUUAAUGGUUCUAGUAUAAUUGUUCAGAUUUAUGUGGAUGACAUUAUAUUUGGUUCUACAGAUGAGAAACUUUGUAAAAAGUUUGCCAAGCUAAUGCAAAGUAAAUAUGAAAUGAGCAUGAUGGGAGAAUUGACUUAUUUUCUUGGUUUGCAAGUCAAACAAGUGAGUGAUGACAUAUUUAUAAGUCAAACUAAAUACGUCUAUGACUUAUUGAAAAAGUUUGAUCUUAUAAAUUGCUCAACUGCUAAAACUCCCAUGGCCACUGCCACUAAACUUGAAUUGAAUACUAAGGAAAAGAAAGUGGACAUUUCAAGUUAUAGAGGCAUGGUUGGUUCUCUUUUAUAUUUAACAGCCAGUAGACCUGAUAUAAUGUUUGCCACAUGUCUUUGUGCUAGAUUCCAAGCUGAUCCUAGGGAAUCUCAUUUAAUAGCAAUUAAAAGGAUUUUCAGAUAUCUCAAGGGUACUCCAAAUCUUGGCAUUUGGUACCCUAGAGAUUCUGGCUUUGAUUUAAUUGGUUUUUCAGAUGCUGAUUAUGCAGGGUGUAGAAUUGACAGAAAAAGCACCACUGGCACUUGUCAAUUUCUAGGAAAUAAACUAGUCUCUUGGUUUAGCAAAAAGCAAAACUCAGUUUCUACAUCAACUGUAGAAGCUGAAUAUAUUGCAGCUGACAGUUGUUGUGCACAGAUUCUGUGGAUGAAAAAUCAAUUGGUUGAUUAUGGAUUGACUAUUUCCAAGAUUCCUAUUUUCUGUGACAACACAAGUGCCAUUGCCAUAACAGAAAAUCCAGUGCAGCACUCAAGAACAAAGCACAUUGACAUAAGGUAUCACUUCAUUAGGGAACAUGUAAUGAAUGGAACUAUUGAACUUCAUUUUGUUCCCAGUGAAAAGCAGCUAGCAGAUAUUUUCACCAAGCCACUUGAUGAAUCUACAUUCUCAAGAUUAGUAAGUGAACUUGGUAUGUUAAAUUUCUCUAGUUAAUAUUUUACCUAUUUUAUGCAGCCUGUGAUAAGUGACAAAUAGGAUAUUGAACUAUCUUUCUCCAUUUAUCCACUAUCGAUCGCUAUUUUAGCCAUUGAUAGUGUGUCACAUAUCACUGGAUAAGUAAAUACAAUUUUGACAUAUCGAUGGCUCUUUUAUUUAGCCAUUGAUAUGUUAAAAUAGCAAUCGUCUGUUCCCAAUUUAAUUAUCGAUCGGUAUAUACAUACGUAUAUGUAUAUAUCAAUCGGUGACGCUUGGCUACUUUUUGAACGGUUACUUUAUUUACUUUUACUGAGAGUAUAAAUAGUUUGCCUUUAAUUUCAUUUCUCUUUUCACCUGCAUUUGCAAACUCUUAACUCUCCUUCUCUCUCAACUCCUACAAGCCCUAAUCUUUUCUUAAGCAUUCUCAUGGCGCCUAUUGUCAAAAUCACAAGUCAAACUGGGUUCGUCUAUGAGCAGAACAAUCAUGUAGCCUACGUGGACAAAGAUGGGAAACAUUCUGCAGCUUUUAAUACCAUGAUGGAUUUCAUCAAGGAGUGUAAGUUUUCAUAUGCCAUGCUUCAUGCUCCAACUAUCUUCUGUGAGAUUGUUGAGCAAAUGUGGACGUCUGGAAGGUAUGACUCAACCUCCAAAACUCUGUCUGUUUCUAUCAAUGGUACUAGCUACAAUAUUAAUGGUGAGACUGUUAGGGCUGCUCUUAACUUGCCUAGGAACUCUACUGAUAGAUUACCUAGUGAUAAUGAAAUUGUCAGCAUGCUUAGGAAUAUGCACUAUAAUGGUGAUUUAUCCUGCUUAGGACAGAUUCUUAGGCGUUAUAUGCGUAAAGAGUGGAGUUUUCUGUGUGAUUCCUUUAUUAAAGUCUUUUCUGGUAAAGUUUCCAACUAUGAUGCUUUCACAAUGUCAAUGCAAUCCAUGUUCUACAUGCUUAUGACAGAUGAUUACUUUAACAUUGGUGAUUUAGUAUUAUAUGAAAUUAUUGCUAAAUUGGGUCCUCAUGAAGGAAGACCCAAUAAUGUUUAUUUUGCUAGAUUCUUGAUGAUCAUUGCUAAUCAUCUGGUCAAAGAUUUAGUAAUUGCACAGCCAGAAAACAGGUUGGACUGCUGGGUGCAAAGCAAAAGGGUCUGUGGUGAUCUGAUGAGGAUACUUGCAAAUGAUCAAGUACCCUUGUCACUUCCAUCACUGAUGCAGGUACCCUCUAUUCCUAUCACUUCUUCUAAUCCUCAAUCUUCUUCUACUUCCUGUAUAGCAAUGGAAGUUGUACACCCCCAACUUCCUACCCAAGCUGUCAAAACUAAGAAAUCUUCUAAGUCCAAAUCCAAGAAAACCACCUCUGGUGUCUCUCAAAAGAUACCAGUUGUAACAACUUCUUCACAACCUGAGGGAAGUGUGAAGGUGGUGAGUGGUGAGGGGAGGGGUGAUCAUCAAAGAAGCCCCCAGAAUAAGGAAGGAGAGGUGAGUGAUGAGCCAAGCCAUCCCACAUCUUCCCAAAAAGAUGUGGUGAUUAACAUGGAAUCAAACUCAUUACUAGUGACAUCUUCUCAACAAGGUGCCACUAUUGAAAAGAGCUCUCCUCCAAGAGCACAGAACAAAAGGGGAAGGGACACUGACCAAACACCUCCCAAAACCUUCACUAGGAGAAACAAGAAAAGGGCACUUGACACACACUCCACUGUACAGUCCAAAAUUACAGAUUUUGUGACAAUACAGACCACUUCUCAAAUUCAGAUUGAUGUGGCUCCAAUAAAUGUGGAGUCACAGUCCCCUCCUGUUGAAACACUCUCUCCAAUCUCAGAUUUCCAUAUGGAGGAUGUUGAUCUACUAUACAACAUCCCCCACCCAAAUUCUCCAACUCUGUUCUUGGAGAAGUCCAUCUCUGAAAUUGGUGAUCAUCCUUCAUAGGAUUUUUUUGCUAUUUACAUUCCUUUGUUUAAAUCUUUGUCUUAUCUGUUAGCUCAAUUUCUUCUGUGACUACUAGUGAAGUUGUGGAAUUACCAAAUCCAUCACUCUUCACAGAUUCACUAGUUGUCACUAUUGAUGCAUCAACUGCUAAUGCAUCAAUUGCUACUUCUUUCACAUCAUCGAUCGGUAUUUCUCACCAAUCGGUAAGUGCAGUUCUGUCAAUGGCUGUGCUUGACAGCAAUCAGCCGUUGAUGAAUGACAAUGUAGCAUCAAUGGCUAUUCCUCAGCCAUUGAUAGAAGAAGUUCCACUGGCAGAUGCAACUCAAUUAGAUCAUCUUGCUGUCACAAGAGCUGUCAGUGAAGAACUUAUCAUUGUUACUGCACUUUUAGGUCUGAGAGAAAGUGAGUUAGUGGAGAGGCUGUCUUGCAGACAUGCACAAGGAGAGGCUGAGAGUGAGAGGCUGGGAACUUCUUCCUCCCAGGCAAAAAGAGAGAUUGUGGGUACCACAUUAGAUGGUGAAGGUGAGCAUGUGGUGAGCCAGGGUGAGACCCUGAUGCAAGAAUAUAGAGAUUAUGAGAGAAAUGCAGGUACAGAAGAAACAAGGAUGGAUUCUGCUGUGGACCCCUUGGAUGCCUCUACAUUCACCCAUCCAGUGUCAGCCUAUCAAAUUAUGGCUGGCCAAUCCAAUGUCCUAGCAGAAGAAACUUUGGGGUUGCUUCACACAUCUGAAGCACUGGAGAGAGCAAAAAUUGCACAUGCUGCUGUUCCUAAAGGCAUGCUCUCUACACAGGGUGAUUCUAAAUACGAUGACUCCCUGGCUGAUGAAGAUGAUGAUGAAGAUGAAGAAGUAGCUGGACCUUCAGAAAUGCCAGAUUGGGUGUUCAGCCAAAACUUCAAUUUUGGUGACACUAAGAUGGAAAUUCUAAGGCAAUAUAAGAGAGCAAUGGAGUGGGCUGAAGAUGAAGAUCCAAUGAAGAAAACUCUCUCUAUGUUUGUGAAGGAUAACUUGAGACUUCACAAAUCUCAUCUUACUCAACUCAGACAAGAAAUUGGAGAUCUUCAUACUGCAGUCUCUGAUGUUAAGAAAGAUAAUGAGAAAAAUCUGGAUGCUAGAAUGUCUUAUGACACAAUGGCCAACAUAAGAUCCAAGUUGCAUCAAGACUCUCCACUUGCUGCCUCUAUUGAUGCUCUGGACAAAAGAGUAUCAGAUGUUGAGUGUCAACUCAAUCAAGUUCUUAUCAAUCAAAACACUCAACAGAAGUUACUUCUUACUCUCCUCCAAGCUCAGAACAUCCCAAUUCCCAGUGCCGUGCUUGUUGAUUACAAAAAGGGGGAGAAGUCUUCAAGAGCAGUUACUUCUACUUCUACCUCUCUCACUACCUCUCUCACUGUUCCUGUCUCUGUCCCUGAUAUUUCUGCUACACCACCAUCAACCACCAUCUCUACCAUCUCUGAAAUUCUGCCUCUACCCUCCAAAGAUCAAUUGCCUACAUCUGAGGGGGAGCCACUAUCUAAGGGGGAGCAACUUGCCCCUGUGUCAAAAUCCAAAGCCCCUCCAGUUGAAAGGAAGAAGAAGCCACCAAAGAAAACUAAGACUGUCAUAGUCAAGAGCAUAAAAUGUCAAGGUGAGGCAUCUUUUGUGAAUGAGUUCAAACCUUGCAUGAUUGAUCCUCCAUCCCCAACAAAGCCACAUGGUAAGAACAAGCUAGCUACAGAUUUCCCAAUGCCAAAAUCAGAUAAGUCUAAGCUACUUGGUCUUGCCUUUCACAUGGGAACAUUUGGCAAGAAGUGGAAGGAGACUGAGGAAGAAAAGAAAGAGAGAGAGAAUGCUGAAAAGGAGAAGGCUGAGCAAGAAGCCAAAGAUCUUGCAGAAGGGAAGCCUAUUAAGCCAAAGCUAGUUGUUGGUAAAUUAGAUCAAGACUCUGUGUGGAGAUCUGAAUUUGCCUACAUUACAAGGAACAAUCAAGUUAUAUGUGUGCCUCCUGGACACCCCUUGUAUGCUAAGGCCAAAGAGGAACAGGAAAGAACUCAAGGGCACUCUGCAAAUAAAGAUGCAUACAUUGAAAGAUUUGCUGCAGAAUUGCUGCAAGAACUUGGAGAAGAAGUUGGUGAUUUGGCUGAUGAAUCUAACAUUGCUAUUCAGCAACAAAUUCUGGAUGAAGCCAAGAAAAAUAUGGAAAAGAAGGCUAAAAAGAAGGUCAGGGCUGGUGUGAAGAAAAAUGUACCAAACUUGACUGUGGUACAUGAAGAAGAAAAAGUUAAGUCUCCAAGACAAGAUACACCUCCUGCUUCUACUGCUCAAUCAGAACCUCUCAUAAAUCCAGAAGAGCUAAAAGAAGAACCUGUAGAGUUUGACAUCUCAUCCAUGAAUUUUCCAAAAAUCUUUGUAACUAAAGAGGAUGAGCUGGCAGACUCUCUAAAGCCAAGGAAAAACCAAACUGGAGGAAAAGCCAAACACAUGCCUAGUAACAUCAAAAAGAAAGGAGGAAAUCCUAAAAGGCAUGAUCCAGUUGGACCUAUUCAAGUUAAGCCUCCCUCAAGAGAAGUGGUGAUCCCUCCUGUGCCAGAAAUUGUCAAGGUUCCUAAAUCUUCUUUUGCUUAUGCAUUUCAUAUCAGUGAACAGCCUCCAAUCAAUCUGUAUCUGAAUGAAUUGCAAAGUGUGAAGGCCUUGACAAGGACAAAGAAGCUUCCAGAAAGGUUGGAAUUCCACUACUCACCUCAAACAAAAAUUGUGUGGCCACUAGAAAGGAUCUUGGAUCAGGAUUACAAUGAUUUGAAGACAGUAUACAUGAAGCUGGACAACAGAACUUCAUACUCACAGGGAAUCAGAAGUGAAAUUCUCAAAAGAAUUGAAGAUAUAAGGAAGAAAUGGAAUAAACCUUCUGAUCUCCCCUUAAGAUUGUCCCUUCCUAAUACUGGUAGCUGCAUUCACAAUCAUCCCUCAAGACUGAUGACUUUUAGAGAUGAUCAAGGCAUUAAAAGAUUUUUCAGAUUAAAAGAUCAUGCUAGAAAUGCUGAUAUAGAUAUCUUGAGGGCAAUCCAGAACAAACUCAACUUUAAGAUCACAGAAGAGGCCAAGUUCAUUGAAGAUCUAGAGAGGGAGAUCAACAAGAAAUUGUCCAAACAGAAGAAAAGGAAACAAUGAAUAUCUGCUCAGUCUAGAGGAGCAAAAAAAAAAAACCAAUCCUUGUAAAACUCUUAUCUUUCAGCAAUUUAAAUUUUCUUUCAAAUACAAAGAUAUCUGUUUUCCUUAUUAUGUGUUUUGUAAUCAUCAAGCACCUCAAAUUUAUAUGUGAAAUUCCUACAGAUAUAAAUAGGGGGAGAUUGUUAGGAAUAUGUGAUGCUUGAUGAUACAAGGUAUUUUAUUCUUACUUAGAAUAAAAUUGCAUGUAGCUGAUCAAUUGGUAGCAUGCUAAGACAGUAUCAAUUGAUCAGAUUGACCCAUCAACGGCUGAUGAGGUAUUGUAACAAAGCUGGAGCAUUUUAGCAGUUGAUGUAAAAUAAUGUGUACUUUUAGAUUAGCAGUUGAUCUAUCAACGGAUGUUUAGAUAGGGUGACAUAAUUGUAAAUAUGAGAAGUCAUGUAAUCUAUUCAAGUGAAGUGAAGAUCGAUCGGUAAUUUAAAGUAUCAAUGGCUAUUUGGAAAGAAGAUUAUCAACCGCUACAUCAACAUCAUCAUUAUCCCAUAACUCAAAGAAGACUAUCAACUGCUAUUUCAGUGUAUCAUCAAUUGAUGAUAUUAGCAAUUGAUUAUCAGCAAUUGACAGCUACAAGUCAGGGAAAAGACAAAGUUCACAUGGGUUGAUGUGACAGAUGCUACACCAGCUUUGGAAGCUAAACCAAAAGGAGUUUAUUCAAAUAUUGAGAACCUCGAAGCCUACCAUUUCUGGCAAAGCAACAAGAAUUUCAAGCUGCCAAAUGCAGUAUCAAGUCCAACAAAUUCUAUAUUUGUACUAGCUAGAAAGUGUGUAGGAAAAUACUUUUACAGACUAGUUUUGUUUGUAGUACUAUAUAUUCACUUUGUAAUUUCACAUUUCAAAGAAUCAAACACCAAGAACUGAAGAGCAAAGUAUUAGAGAAAGUUAGCAAGAAAUUGUAAGCUUCUGCUCUUCAUUCUUUUGUAAGCAGCCAAGUAUUUUUACUUGGAAGGUUCUUGAUAUAAAAAUCUCUCAGGUGGAUCAAACAAUCCACCUGAAAUUUUUAAGAUCCUUGUUCUUUAAAUUUCUAUUUUAGAUUUUAUAUUCUCUUGUAUUUUGAAUAUGAUCUGCUAUGCAAAAAGAUAUUGAAUUUUUUGUAGAUUGUAUUCAACCCCCCCCCCUUCUACAAUCUAACUUAUUGUUUGAAUUGUCUGAAUAACAGAGUUUAGUUCUCCUUUGUUUUGUAUGUCGCAGAGUCGCCAUUCCGAGUCGUUUUUGUUUCUGGGUUUUGUAUUUCGUACUCUGUCUCGCAGAGUUCUGUCCUGCACCGAGUUUGUUUUCUGAGUUUUUCUUGUGUUUAGUCAAGUUCUACUGGCUUUGUAUCGAGUCAGAGUAUGUAUUCAGUUUGUUUGCGAUUUGUAGGCUACCGAGUCUGAGUCAUUUAGUUGCCGAGUUCAUCCUGCAGAGUCAAGUCUCCCUGGUUUUAGUUUAUUCAUUUAUUUUGUAUGUUCAGUAAACCUGCCUGUUGAAUUAGUCAUGUCAGGAUUUGUUUUAUUUUAAUUGUCUUGUAGUUUUGUUUCUUUGUUUUGGUAGCUAGCCGAGAGGAUUAUUUCUUUGCUCGUUUCUGAUUUGACUAGGCUAGUAAUCAAAUGGGUCUGGUAAUUGAAUUGUGAAUUUUUUAGUUUUAAGUUUGCUUGCUUUUACGUGUUAAUUAAUUUUGUUGAUUAAAUUGUGAUAAUUAAUUUUAGUUAAUUAGAUUAAAGAAUAUAAUAAUUGAAAUUAGUUUUUUUAGAAUAAACCCUCUUUCACAAAUUAAUUGUUCUAAUUCGCCUAGAUUAAGAAUUAAGGUUGCGAAAAUAAUUUUAAUCUCUGUGGAUCGAAUCAUAAAUAUUAAAACGGUGAUCGUGCGCUUGCGAUUUAAAAAGUAAUCAUUUUUAGCACAUCAGGACACUAUUUGUAAUACUAUAGUUCUAAAUUGAGCACUUGCAAUAUCAAUUUUUGUAUUUCAUCACACUUUGUUGUAUUCCAUUAAUUUGGGUUAACUCCGUUAGUAAUUUAAAUAGUAAAGGGCAUUUUGUGUACUCGCACUUUAUUUAAAGUGCAUUGUGUGUACUCGCAUUUCACGGUAAAUUUUCAACUAGAGUAUUGCAAGUGAUGUUUUUUAGUAAAGUGCGAGUACACAAAGUGCAAUUUACUCCUUAAAUUACUAACAGAGUUAACUCAAAUUAACGGAAUACAACAAAGUGUAAUGAAGUACAAAAAUUGAUAUUGCAAGUGCUCGAUUUGGAACUAUAGUAUUACAAAUGAUGUCUUGAGUGAAGUACGGGUACACAAAGUGCACUUUACUAUACUUUUAUUUAACAUCCACCAAAUCGCAAAAUUAUAUUUAUAUAUAUAAACCGCACAGUAUGGUUCAUGCGAGGUGGGUCUCUGAUUAGAUGAAAAAACCGUGCCUCCCACACCCCAAUCAAUACUGGCAUGCAUAGUGCAUAUAACCCUAAAAGCCAACAAUAUUUUGUUUGUCCAAUUGUUGGAGAUAGGCUACAUGUUCAAAAUUUGUAAGCUAAAUAUUUUCUUAUAUAAUUUUCUUUCCCCUAAUUGUUUCUCAAGUUCUCAAGAACGUCAAAAGCAUAUGAAAAUGGAGCAACUACAAAAAUUAUCAGAUGGUACAAUCACUGAGAAGUAUAUGAAUUUAAUACUUUGCUAAUUCCAAAGGGUCAUUGAAACCUAAAGAAACUUAUCGGUCUAUAUCUAGCCACAAGCACAUGUAAAAGAUCAAAUACCUAAUCUAUUCAAUCUAAAGUUUCUUACGUACAGGGAGUAGAAAAGCAAACAACAAAAUUUGUAAACAUACUAUUGCCUCGGCAAUCAAGUUUAGUUUAUACGAAGGUUAACACUAAAUAUGACAAAAUCAGCAAAGCAAAAUCACAUUAAACCCGUAUGCUAUGUAGUUUGACUGCUGUAUGUUUGGAGGACGGAGGACUGAAGCAGAGAACAGUGAAGCUGCAUCACAGUCCCUAAUAUUGUCCAGC